GACGAACGCUGGCGGCGUGCUUAACACAUGCAAGUCGAACGGAAAAGCCCUGCUUUUGUGGGGUGCUCGAGUGGCGAACGGGUGAGUAACACGUGUGUAACCUGCCCUUGACGUUGGGAUAACUUCAGGAAACUGGGGCUAAUACCGGAUAGGAGCUACUGCUGCAUGGUGGGGGUUGGAAAGAUUCGGCGGUUGGGGAUGGACUCGCGGCUUAUCAGCUUGUUGGUGGGGUAGUGGCUUACCAAGGCUUGGACGGGUAGCCGGCCUGAGAGGGUGACCGGCCACAUUGGGACUGAGAUACGGCCCAGACUCCUACGGGAGGCAGCAGUGGGGAAUAUUGCACAAUGGGCGGAAGCCUGAUGCAGCCACGCCGCGUGCGGUAUGACGGCCUUCGGUUUGUAAACCGCUGUCGCCUGUGACGAGGCGUUAGUGACGGUAAUGGGUAAAGAAGCACCGGCUAACUACGUG
rnacentral:rRNA from 1 species